rnacentral:rRNA from 1 species
AGGUUACAAUAUGGAAGGCGGGCUGGAACCUCUCGGGGUUACAGCCUUGCUGAAUUAUUCACCCUUGUCUUUUGCGUACUUCUUGUUUCCUUGGUGGGUUCGCCCACCACUAGGACAAACAUAAACCUUUUGUAAUUGCAAUCAGCGUCAGUAACAAAUUAAUAAUUACAACUUUCAACAACGGAUCUCUUGGUUCUGGCAUCGAUGAAGAACGCAGCGAAAUGCGAUAAGUAGUGUGAAUUGCAGAAUUCAGUGAAUCAUCGAAUCUUUGAACGCACAUUGCGCCCUUUGGUAUUCCAAAGGGCAUGCCUGUUCGAGCGUCAUUUGUACCCUCAAGCUUUGCUUGGUGUUGGGCGUCUUGUCUCUAGCUUUGCUGGAGACUCGCCUUAAAGUAAUUGGCAGCCGGCCUACUGGUUUCGGAGCGCAGCACAAGUCGCACUCUCUAUCAGCAAAGGUCUAGCAUCCAUUAAGCCUUUUUUUCAACUUUUGACCUCGGAUCAGGUAGGGAUACCCGCUGAACUUAAGCAUAUCAUAAAAGCGGAGA